rnacentral:tRNA from 1 species
GCCUUCGUAGUGUAACGGUUAGCACACUCGGCGCGUAUUCGAGAGGUCCAGGUUCGAGUCCUGGCGAGCACA